AAAAAAUGGAGAGAGAGAAUUAUCUAGUUUUAGGAAAGGUUUCCUAAAACUAGAGGAGAGAAAAAUAGUGAUGAAAUUAUUAUGGAGGGUUUUUUGGAAAACACUUGGAGUGCCACUAUUUUUGUAUUGCUCUCUUUGUAUACCUACUAUUUUUAAUAGUGGAGGAAUUAUUUAUUCGGAAUUUAUCUUGUGAACGUAGCUCUAAACAGUUAAAGGUAAACUACGUAAAUUUCUGCGUGUCUCAUUUCUAUUUUUUCGCUUUUCUUUUAAUUCUUUGUGUGAGCGCCCAACAAGCAGUAUCACAAGAGGCCCAACGGCACUUACUAAUUGAUUUUCCUUCUCGUUCAGAAAACAGACUGACUUGCAAGAAUCUUGCAGACCAAAUUUGCAUUUCAUUGAAUAAUAUGUUGUCUAUAGAAAAGGUAAGGGAUAUAGAAGUCGAAAUCUCUGCAGAAAUUUAUGUUGAAUAAAAACGAAAAGGGAUCAAAUUUUACUGUUUGUACAUUGAUCAGUUCCGUAUGAGUUGAG
rnacentral:lncRNA from 1 species